UACGUAGGGUGCAAGCGUUGUCCGGAAUUAUUGGGCGUAAAGAGCUCGUAGGUGGCCUGUCGCGUCGGCUGUGAAAGUCCGGGGCUCAACUCCGGAUCUGCGGUGGGUACGGGCAGACUAGAGUGAUGUAGGGGAGACUGGAAUUCCUGGUGUAGCGGUGAAAUGCGCAGACAUCAGGAGGAACACCGAUGGCGAAGGCAGGUCUCUGGGCAUUAACUGACGCUGAGGAGCGAAAGCAUAGGGAGCGAACAGG
rnacentral:rRNA from 1 species